CUGACCUCGGAUCAGGUAGGGAUACCCGCUGAACUUAA
rnacentral:rRNA from 1 species